GUGUUGAAAUGACAAUGGUUUUACCUACCUUGACAUGGUAGGGGUCACAGGUUCGAACCCUGUACCGCCCACCA
rnacentral:tRNA from 1 species